UGGGGUGUAGCUCAGUGGUGGAGUGCUUGCCUAGCAUGCAUGAGGCCCUGGAUUCAAUCCCCAGCACCUCAA
rfam:Ictidomys tridecemlineatus contig002243, whole genome shotgun sequence.